rnacentral:rRNA from 1 species
AUGUCGCCUCGCCUCUGUCAGACCCAUAUCACUGCCCGGGAAUUCAAUCGAAGUUGCCGCUGUGGUUUCAGUGGUAGUUACUGGAAUAGAAACACUGAUCGGAGGAGUGGUGGUGUGGGCAGCGACGGUGGUGGAUGCUGCAACAGAAAGGCUGCUCGGGGGCGCUGUCACGAUGUGGGCAGCAGUGGCGGUGGAGGCGGAGGUGGUGGUGGUGACUGCAGCAGCGGGUGCUCUCGGAGGUGUGGUUACAACGGCAGCAGCGGUGGUGGUGGUGAGCUGCGAGAUGAUGGUGCUGCCAGAACGCAGACCGGGGCAGUGGUGGUGGUGGUGAGAACGUCGAGCAGAGAUGUACUGUCAGAGGUGACCAUGUCUGCUGCACAGGUCAGCGAAUCGAGCAUUGACGCCAUCUUCACCCACCGCCCUAGAUCUUCGGCUUGCUUAAUUUGGUGUUUGAGCUGCAUAAUUUGA